AACGAACGCUGGCGGCAGGCUUAACACAUGCAAGCCGAACGCAUCCUUCGGGGUGAGUGGCAGACGGGUGAGUAACGCGUGGGAACGUGCCCUUCAGUUCGGGAUAACCCAGGGAAACUUGGGCUAAUACCGGAUACGUGCGAGAGCAGAAAGAUUUAUCGCUGAAGGAUCGGCCCGCGUCUGAUUAGCUAGUUGGUGGGGUAAUGGCCCACCAAGGCGACGAUCAGUAGCUGGUCUGAGAGGAUGAUCAGCCACAUUGGGACUGAGACACGGCCCAACCUCCUGCGGGAGGCAGCAGUGGGGAAUAUUGGACAAGGGGCGAAAGCCUGAUCCAGCCAGGCCGCGGGAGUGAAGAAGGCCUUAGGGUUGUAAAGCUCUUUCGUCCGGGACGAUAAUGACGGUACCGGAAGAAGAAGCCCCGGCUAACUUCGUGCCAGCGGCCGCCGUAAGAC
rnacentral:rRNA from 1 species